UGGACCGGUAACUCAGUGGUAGAGUGUAGGACUGCAGUAUUAUGAAAUUGCCUUCCCGAAGUCACCGGUUCGACUCCGGUUCGGUCCUU